rnacentral:lncRNA from 1 species
AGUGUCAGCUGCUGUAAAGCUCCCCAGACGCCAGCAUGAGGCUCCAUUACCUCCUCGCGACCCUCUUCGUGCUCCUCCUGUUGCCUGUGUCGGGUUUUACUCAAUUAACAAGAAGUCGUCACAGCUGCCAUUGGAAUGGAGGUGUCUGUACACUGUUCCAGUGCCCUCCAAAUAUGAGACAGGUCAGCACCUGUUUCUGGCACUGGGUAAAAUGCUGCAAGAGGAGAUAAUAAGAAGGCGAAGAAACGGCUGUGACAGAAGUGGUCAGAAACUGCGCCCUUCAAAAAAUCAUAUAAAAUUUAAACCAGAUUCAACUUCUAUGUUCAAAGGCAAAGACUCUAGGCCUCUGGCCAGUGCGGUUGUUGUGUGGUGUGUGAUUACAGGCGACCACCGAAACCCUUGAGGGCGCUCUCCUAAGCUCCCCGUACUAACCAUCUGGGACACCACAGUGGCAUGCUCCUGUUCCUUGGGGCCACCUGACCUUCCCCAGCCCCCCUUUGUGCUGUCCAAUGAUGUGUGCUUUGUCCUUCCUGCUUCCCGCCCCAGGGUGCCCCUACCUAACCCACAUCACCCCUCAAGCACACACCCCGUUGGUCCAGUCCCACCAGAUCACCACCUCCCUCGGGAAACCACAACCGACCUGCCCAGGGGGAAACCCCUCUCUCCUCUGUUUUCCCCAAGUCCCCACUGCCUUUUGGUUUACGCUUCUUACUUAUAUGCCUUGUGCACAUGUGGAUAAACUUCUAAUUCUCUCCUGGGCUAUGAGAUCUCUACGGGCGUGGACUUUGUCCUGUGCACGUAUGUGCUGGUCACUGAGGGGAGACAUUGCUUCAUAAACUAUUAUCAAUUGAAUGACAAAGCUGACUUGGACAAAGCAUGUCUCUCCAUGUGGACAUGAUGCAAUGCAAGUAAAUGCUGUGGAAAAACAAGUCCUUACGGAAAGCACAAUUCAAUGAAGGCAAUAUACCGCGGAACACAGGAAGAAGGGACUGAACACCAAAAGAAAGAGACCGUAGACAGCAAGGGGAAGGAUGAGGAUGCUGACCUCACCCUGCUCUCAAUUCCUCCGGAGGGUUUGGUGGUUAAAUCAAGAACCCUGCUGAUUUAUCCUGCAUGUGUGAGCAGCUCUCUGGCUCUUUACACUAACUUUUCACUCAAUGCAAGUUGAGGUCACCAAUGUGAUGGUGUUAGGAGAUGGUGCCUUUGGGAGGUCAUUAGGUCAUGAGGGUGGAGCCCUCAUGGGUGGUAUGAGUAUCCUUAUGAAAAAGACUCCAGAGAGAUCUCUUGCCCCUUCUGCCAUGCGAGGACACAGGGAGAAGGCAGCCGUCCACCAGACACCUGCUCUGUCUUGAUCAUGGACUUCUCAGCCUCCCAAACUGUGAGAAGUAAAUGUCUGUUGUUUAUAAGCCACCC